CCUACGGGAGGCAGCAGUGAGGAAUAUUGGUCAAUGGACGAGAGUCUGAACCAGCCAAGUAGCGUGAAGGAUGACUGCCCUAUGGGUUGUAAACUUCUUUUAUAUGGGAAUAAAAUGUUCCACGUGUGGGAUUUUGUAUGUACCAUAUGAAUAAGGAUCGGCUAACUCCGUGCCAGCAGCCGCGGUAAUACGGAGGAUCCGAGCGUUAUCCGGAUUUAUUGGGUUUAAAGGGAGCGUAGGUGGAUUGUUAAGUCAGUUGUGAAAGGUUGCGGCUCAACCGUAAAAUUGCAGUUGACACUGGCAGUCUUGAGGACAGUAGAGGUGGGCGGAAUUCGUGGUGUAGCGGUGAAAUGCUUAGAUAUCACGAAGAACUCCGAUUGCGAAGGCAGCUCACUGGACUGCAACUGACACUGAGGCUCGAAAGUGUGGGUAUCAAACAGGAUUAGAUACCCGUGUAGUC
rnacentral:rRNA from 1 species